rnacentral:lncRNA from 1 species
CUAGGAAAAAAGAGAAGAAAGAAAGAUUGAAACCAGCAGGAAGGAAGAUGUCUCUCAGAAACAAAGGCAAUGUGCAGAAUAUACACAAGGAAGAUAAACCUUUAAGUCUGAGUAUGCCUGUAAUUACAGAAGAAGAAGAGAAUGAAAGUUUGAGUGGAACAGAGUUCACUGCAUCCAAGAAGAGGAGAAAACACUGAACAAAGAGCCUGGUGUAGUUUUUAAUUUUGAGUUUUCUGACAGAAGAAAAGAUUGAUAUUUUGUGUAUUGAACAGGAAGACUGCCAGUAUUAAAAAAAUCCUUCUGGGAAUCUGUAGGUUAUUUCUUGGAAAUUGCAAUACGUAGUUCUAGAAUAAAAGUACAAAAAAUUAGAAUAAGAAUUCUUUAACAUUUUCUUUAAUGAUUUGCAUAAAUGGAGAUAAAACUUGUAUUUAGUAUGUAAUAGAAAAAAUUCUGUUAUUCGCAGAUUGUUACUAUUUCCUAUAAGGUUUUGUGAUACUAUACUGUCCUAAUACAGUCUGGUAAUACUAUUCUAUUUUAUUUAAAAUAUUUUUUAUUGAAAUAUUAAUGUUUAUUACAUGCAAAUAACUAUUUUGUAUCUACAGUCGGAUAAUGGAUUUUUUAUUUUGUAUAUUUAUUCUAUUUUGUAUAUUGUUAAGUGCAAUAAAGUUUUUGCCUUGCUUUAUUUUUUAAUACAUAAAACUUACAUUCUCAUAACGUGAUUGAUAACUUAGGAAGUUCACAAUGUAUUUUCUACUUCUGCAAUUAAAUAUUCUUUAGUGCUUGUUUAUUAUUACUAAAUACUAAUUAAGUACUAACAAGUACUUAAAUACUAAUGUAUUAAGUAUUUAAGUACUUUCUAAUAAAAUCUUUAACAAUAAUAAUGUAAAUUUCAGAAUGUGUCUCUGGUACAGAAUAGUUGAUAUUAACAGAAAAAAAAAAAUCUGUAGCUUCAUGAAUAUGCCACUCUGUUAAUUUCUUGUUCCAGACAUUUUAAUAGAGAUUGCUUGAGCCAUGUUGUUUGAAUUGCUGCCAAUAGCAGACCAUAUCCCUAUCAUGUUGUUGGCUCAACUGUUUUUUUUUUUUCCCUAAUAGAGAUGGAGUAUCGCUAUGUUGCUCAGGCUGGUCUUGAACUCCUGGGCUCAAGCUAUCCUCCUGCCUCAGCCUCCCAAAGUACUGGGAUUAUAGGUGUGAGCUACUGUACCCAGCCUUAACCUGUUUCACAGUUGAUUAUACUUCAUGCUGUUUUCCAGCAUGGUAUUAUUAAGGGAUUUAAAGUUUGGGUUGCAUGCCUGUAAUCCCAGCAUUUUGGGAGGCCGAGGUGGGCGGAUCACGAGGUCAGGAGAUCGAGACCAUCGUGACUAACACAGUGAAACCCCG